UAAGGAGACUACAGGUGACAAACCGGAGGAAGGUGGGGAUGAAGUCAAGUCAUCAUGGCCCUUACGGAAUGGGCUACACAAGUGCUACAAUGGUCGGUACAGAGGGUUGCCAAGCCGCGAGGUGGAGCUAAUCUCACAAAACCGAUCGUAGUCCGGAUAGCAGUAUGCAACACGACUGCGUGAAGUAGGAAUCGCUAGUAAUCGCGAAUCAGAAUGUCGCGGUGAAUACGUUCCCGGGCCUUGUACACACCGCCCGUCACACCAUGGGAGUGGGUUGCACCAGAAGUAGCUAGUCUAACCUUCGGGAGGACGGUUACCACGGUGUGAUUCAUGACUGGGGUGAAGUCGUAACAAGGUA
rnacentral:rRNA from 1 species